rnacentral:lncRNA from 1 species
UAAAAACUCAUGAUAGCUUCCAAGAUAGUUUAGCACCAAUAUUUUCUUCAAGGGUCUCAGGAAUUAUCUCACUUGUAGUUUGUGGGAAAAAAUCACAAACAGGAUGAGGUGUAUUGACUUUUCUUUUCUUAUUCAAUUGCUCAUACAUUUUUGCCUUCCCUUUUCUUUUGAAAUUCAAUCUUCAAUUUCUUCGUACAACUUCAGCAUCUGCUUUUGUAUUUACAAGAGUAGGAUUUGACUUAUGCUGAUUCAAAUACUCAGCAUCCGCUCCUGUAUUUACAAGACCAGGGAUUGAUGCAACCUGAUUUUAAUUUGGC